rnacentral:rRNA from 1 species
GACGAACGCUGGCGGCGUGCUUAACACAUGCAAGUCGAACGAGUGGCGAGCGGGUGAGUAAUACGUGGGUAACCUGCCCUCUUUUUGGGAUAAACCUUGGAAACCGGGUCUAAUACCGAAUAAAGGGGGUUGGGCUCGCGGCCUAUCAGCUUGGUGGGGGGGUGAUGGCCUACCAAGGCGGUGACGGGUAGCCGGUCUGAGAGGGUGACCGGCCACAUUGGGACUGAGACACGGCCCAGACUCCUACGGGAGGCAGCAGUGGGGAAUAUUGCACAAUGGGCGCAAGCCUGAUGCAGCCAUGCCGCGUGUAUGAAGAAGGCCUUAGGGUUGUAAAGUACUUUCAGCGGGGAGGCGUUACCCGCAGAAGAAGCACCGGCUAACUCCGUGCCAGCAGCCGCGGUAAUAC